AUCGACUAGGGAAUGGGGAAUCUACCAGAGGCCACUCCUCCAAAGAAAAGUGACUCUCCCACAGCACUCAUCAACUGCUCGUAGCAUCUUGCCUAGGGAUGGGACAUCAGGAGUCCUUCUACCAUCCAUGCUGGAAUAUCGACUGGCUUGAUCUUACACAGGUCAUGUGCAGGCCUAGAGUAUAUAGCUGGGGAAGGAUGAGAGGAGAGGACUCCACUACACAGACUUGUCGGGGAGUCUUCAUGCAUACUGGGUGUAGACCUUCAGUGUGGCUGCUUUAAAGUCACUCAUGCUCCUGGAUGUAACCCCUCAGCCUCUGUUCUACUGAGAACUGCUGAUGUGGAGGAUCCAGCCCACUGGGAAUGGUCCCAUCACUGCGCUGGUGGUUCUGAGCUGUAUAAAAUCUGUAGCUGAAUGGAGAAGCCAUCAACAAGCUGGUUAGCAGCAUGACUUCAUGUUCUCUGCUUUACUUCCCACCUCUGGGUUCCUGCCUUGAGUCCUGCCCCACCUCCCUUGAUGAAGAAUUGUGAUGCAGGUAUAUAAGAUGAAAUAACCACAUCCUCCCCAGGCUGGGGUUUGUCAGUGUUUCAACACAACACCAAAAAUCAAA